rnacentral:rRNA from 1 species
AUUGAACGCUGGCGGCAGGCCUAACACAUGCAAGUCGAACGAGUGGCGGACGGGUGAGUAAUGUCUGGGAAACUGCCUGAUGGAGGGGGGUAACUACUGGAAAAGGUAGCUUAUACCGCAUACCCUCAGAUGUGCCCAGAUGGGAUUGGCUGGUUGGUGGGGUAACGGCUCACCAAGGCGACGAUCGCUAGCUGGUCUGAGAGGAUGACCAGCCAAACUGGAACGGAGACAGGGUCCAGCUUCCUAGGGGAGGAAGAAGUGGGGAAUAUUGCACAAUGGGGGCAAGCCUGAUGCAGACAUGCCGCGUGGAUGAAGAAGGCCUUCGGGUUGUAAAGUACUUUCAGCGGGGAGGCGUUACCCGCAGAAGAAGCACCGGCUAACUACGUGCCAGCAGCCGCGGUAAUAC